UACGUAGGGUGCAAGCGUUAAUCGGAAUUACUGGGCGUAAAGCGUGCGCAGGCGGUUUUGUAAGACAGAUGUGAAAUCCCCGGGCUUAACCUGGGAAUUGCAUUUGUGACUGCAAGGCUGGAGUGCGGCAGAGGGGGAUGGAAUUCCGCGUGUAGCAGUGAAAUGCGUAGAUAUGCGGAGGAACACCGAUGGCGAAGGCAAUCCCCUGGGCCUGCACUGACGCUCAUGCACGAAAGCGUGGGGAGCAAACAGG
rnacentral:rRNA from 1 species